rnacentral:rRNA from 1 species
ACGAAGGGUGCAAGCGUUACUCGGAAUUACUGGGCGUAAAGCGUGCGUAGGUGGUUCGUUAAGUCUGAUGUGAAAGCCCUGGGCUCAACCUGGGAAUGGCAUUGGAAACUGGCGACCUAGAGUGCGGUAGAGGGUAGUGGAAUUCCCGGUGUAGCAGUGAAAUGCGUAGAGAUCGGGAGGAACACCGGUGGCGAAGGCGGGUCUCUGGGCAUUUCCUGACGCUGAGGCGCGAAAGCGUGGGGAGCAAACGGGA